CAGGGUAUAUUUUAGUUUAUAUCGGCAAAAAAAAGAUCUAAGGAUCAGUUCGGAUUAUUGGUUUUUGGUUUUGAUUGCUUAGCAUUGUAUAGCGAGAGGGAUUGUUAUGUUUUUUAGAAAUAUAGGUAGAGUGAUUUGACUUUGUGCUUAAUAGGAAUAGCUUUAUUGCUCGUCAUAUGAGGGUAUUUAACUCUCACGUUUGCAUCUGUUAUGUCUUCUUCUUCUUCUUCUUCUUCUUCUUCUUAUUGUUGUGCAUUUAAUGGGUUGUAUUCGAGGAUGAGCAAAUAUUUUCGAUCUUCUGAGGGUGGUGAACUUUAUUCCACUCAUGCGGAAUCAAUCUUGGAGACCUGAACUGAGAAUACCCAUCUCAACCCAAAAAAACCAAAAAAAGAAAAUCCUUUUUUUUUCCUUUUAUUUUGGGCCCCGAAUUUUUUUGGGUAUUUUUGUUUUUUUUUUCGCUGUAGUUUGGUUUCCGAUGAUGAUCAGAGCAAAAACUUUCGUUCUUCCGAGGCAUUUGCUAUGCAAUGCGGAGGAUUCAUGGAGACCUGAACUGAGGAGACCCGAUUUAACGCUUUGCUUUUGGAAUUUGUUUUUUUUCCUUUAUCUUUUCUAAAAAGGUAUAGUUUUUAUUUUAAUGCUAAUUAGCCGAUUUGAAUCCCAAUGAAGAUCACUCAUAUGGAUUAAAGUAGUGGGCUGAAAUCAUGUGAUGAAUGGUAUGUUCUGAUCCUGAGGGAUAAUUUUAUCGCUACAUAAAAGAAUGAUUUUGAUCCUUUUUUCUAUGCUGAAAUAUACUUUAGUUAAGAGUCGUUUCAUUCUCUUCCCUGAUGGAGGGAUUUACCAUUACUCGUUGAUUUCUCCCUAGGUUUCUAGUAGCUUUUUUAUACUAUAAUUAAGUGUUGUAGUUGCUUCAUUUCUAGUUUGAACUGAACUUUUAUUCUUAGUUUUUCUUCAUAUGAAGUCUAUAAGCUUUUAUUCUUCUUCAGUUCACAAGGCUCCCGAUGAUUGAAUCAAACAUCAUCAGUUUCAGCCUUGUCUGAAUACACUAUUUGUUGAAAUCUAAAGCUUUUCUGAGGGAGCCGCCCCUACUGACUUUUUUAAAUGGAAGAACUUCAAAUAUUUCCCCUUGCGGGUCAGCGCUUUCUCGCUUUACUACCUUGUGUUUUGAAAUGUAUUAUUUUAGCAUCCUGUGAAUUUAUUUUUCUCUUUCCAUCAGAAUUUUCAUUUACUCUCCAUUAAAAUAUAUAUAAAAAAAAUUUCACAUAUCUUCCUGUGGAUUAUCAAAUAUUCACUUUAGUAUUCUGUGUUCAUAUGCUGAUCUUCAUUUUGAGCAGAUAAUUUUACUACUUGCAUUACUGGAUCUGUACUAGUUGCUUUGCCUGAUCGAUAUUGAUUGUUCUCAUUUU
rnacentral:lncRNA from 1 species